GAUAUACAGUCCCAGAAUACAAGGUAAGAGAAUCAUUAGACUUCUACAGCUGUUGGUUGGAUGAAAUGUCACUAAUGGAUAUAUUUUAGUGUUGGACCACCAUUUGAGUUAUUUAUAUGGUGCAUUUUGCGAUACAUUUGUGUGGUGUUAUGAAUGUGAAACACAUUGUUUCUUACUGUUUGAGAUGUUAGUUAAGUUAGGCAAGAAAAGUUGUUUUGGUUGUUUCUUUUCUCCUUUCAGCAGUAUAUAAUGAGACAUUUUAUGUUUUUACCACUUUCUAAACCUUGUAAUAUACUUUUUCUUUUUUCUUGAUGCAUCUUUGUUGAAGUUUUUGUGAUUCUGCAUCCAUGGGAAAUGGUUUGUUAGAGAAGGUGGGUUUGACAGGGUACAUAUUGAGAGGUAGGAAACCGAUUCAGUUGUUGUUUACUUUACAAAAUUGAAUAAACUAUGGAAUAAACUUGGCGCUUUAAAGCAUCAUUUAACUAUUUGUGGAUGUGGUGUUUGUGGAUGUGGUGCUUCUGAAGUAUAGCUUGAGAGAGAGAGAGAGAGAGAGAAUGAGAAUAAACUGAUGGCAAUUUUUAAUGAGUUGUUUGACCAUAUAAGAAAUCAAAUCUUGAUUUUGGAUCUGUUACCAACACUCAAUAAAGUCUAUAAAUCUAUAUGCAGCCACUGAGUGUGUUGAUGGACAAGCAACUGCAAUUGGUCCUACUAGCGAUUGGAAUGCUAAUUUAGCUUCAGCUAUUUAACAGGACUUUUUGUCCAAAUGUAUUUAUGAACAAGUUCAUAAAAGGCAGGUUAGCUCUAUAUAUAACAUAAGUAUAAUCUUGCAAUAUACUUCAUAAAAUUUUCUUUGAGCUGUUAUUUACUCACCACCUGCAGUUGGUAUCAAGUCUUAAAUUAGUUAGACAUUCAAUAAAAAGACUUUUUAUAUGAUUCCAAUGAUUCUCUACAUAAUAUGCUUCUUAAAACAAAAUUUGAUUCAAUUUAUUUUAACACCAUAAUUCUUUAUAAAAUAAAUACCUACAAAAUUUCUUACAGUUAGUAAUUUAAUGGUCAUGGUCAGUAAACGGUCAGUAACUUAUUUUACAAAUCACUUUUUCCAUAAUUUGAUCAGUUAACAUGAUUUCUUCUGGUGCGUUAUUAUUUAUAAAUACUAAUAAUUACAUUGUAAAAUUUAUAAUUUAUUUUUAGUAAUAUAAUUUAUUUAAUUAAUUUAUAAUAUAAUAUUUUAAUUUACAUUUAAAAUCCACAUGGUCACGUCUAUUUUAAUGGAUUAAAAAAUUAUACAAAUACACAUUAUUUAAAAUAUUUCAAUUUGAUUUGUUUGAUUAAUUUACUAUUUUAAUUUAAUUUAUGUUCUAUUAACAAAUAUAACAUUAAAAUUUUAAUAGAUUGUGUAUUUUAUUAAAACUAUUAUAUGUUUUAAUAAUUUACUUAUAUUAAGACUGUUAUUAAUAAUUAAAAUUCUAAUAUUUCAAUUUGAGAUGUUAGUUAAGUUAGGCAAGAAAAGUUGUUUUGGUUGUUUCUUUUCUCCUUUCAGCAGUAUAUAAUGAGACAUCUUAUGUUUUUACGACUUUCUAAACCUUGUAAUAUACUCGAUAAAAUUUUCUUUGGGCUCUUGUUUGUACAUGGUAUUUUUCUUUUUGCAAGAUGCAUCAUUCUUGAAGUUUUUGUGACUGCAUCCAUGGGAAAUGGUUUGUUAGAGAAGGUGGGGCUGACAGGGUACAUAUUGAGAGGUAGGAAACCAAUUGCAAAAUGAUUCAGAUCCUUUGACUCUUCAAAACUCAGAUAAUCCAAGUAGGAUUCUCAUAUCUGCACCGUUAAAUUUAGUAAUUUAUUCGACUUGGAGUAUGUCUAUGACUAUGACACUUGCUUUAAAGAAAGAUUUGGGCAACUUAUACACCAAUUAAAGAAAGAAACAAGUAGUUUUCAGUCAAGAAUCUAUAUGAGUUGUUGUUUACUUUACAAAAUUGAAGAAACUAUGGGAUAAACUUGGUGUUUUAAAGCAUCAUUAAAGAGUAGGUUGAAUAUGAGUUUGCUUUUAGUAUAAUUCUAUGUUCAGCCUCCUCAUUCUUAAAAGAAAAGUUAGGAAGUUAGAAAGAUGGGAGUGGAGGAAAGAGUUUCAUAUAGAUUUUGUGACUUUUGGAAAGCUUUUGGGCAUGUUAGAGAUACUUGCUGAUUGGUUUAAUGUUUCUUGUGGUCCAGUAGUGUCAAUACAAAGAAACUUCAUCUGAUUAAAUGGAAUACUCUUUUGUUGCCUAAAAAGAAUGGAGGCUUAGACAUGAAAGAGAUCUCUCUUCAAAUUCAAGCUCUUUUGUUAAAAUGGCUUUGGAGAUUUGAAAAUCAUAGGGAUUCACUCUAAGUUCAACUUCUUCUAUCCAAAUAUUCUUUCAAUUUGGAGAAGGGUAUCUCUCUUGCUCCAGGAAAUUGCAUUUCUUCCCUUCAGAAAGACAUUCGAGGCUAUGCUACUUUCGAUGAACUCUUCCUUC
rnacentral:lncRNA from 1 species